rnacentral:rRNA from 1 species
AGGGAAUCUUCCGCAAUGGGCGAAAGCCUGACGGAGCAACGCCGCGUGAGUGAUGAAGGUCUUCGGAUCGUAAAACUCUGUUAUUAGGGAAGAACAAAUGUGUAAGUAACUGUGCACGUCUUGACGGUACCUAAUCAGAAAGCCACGGCUAACUACGUGCCAGCAGCCGCGGUAAUACGUAGGUGGCAAGCGUUAUCCGGAAUUAUUGGGCGUAAAGCGCGCGUAAGCGGUUUCUUAAGUCUGAUGUGAAAGCCCACGGCUCAACCGUGGAGGGUCAUUGGAAACUGGGAAACUUGAGUGCAGAAGAGGAAAGUGGAAUUCCAUGUGUAGCGGUGAAAUGCGCAGAGAUAUGGAGGAACACCAGUGGCGAAGGCGACUUUCUGGUCUGUAACUGACGCUGAUGUGCGAAAGCGUGGGGAUCAAGCAGGAUUAGAUACCCUGGUAGUCCACGCCGUAAACGAUGAGUGCUAAGUGUUAGGGGGUUUCCGCCCCUUAGUGCUGCAGCUAACGCAUUAAGCACUCCGCCUGGGGAGUACGACCGCAAGGUUG